rnacentral:rRNA from 1 species
UACGAAGGGGGCUAGCGUUGCUCGGAAUCACUGGGCGUAAAGCGCACGUAGGCGGAUUGUUAAGUCAGGGGUGAAAGCCUGGAGCUCAACUCCAGAACUGCCCUUGAUACUGGCAAUCUCGAGUCCGGAAGAGGUAAGUGGAACUCCGAGUGUAGAGGUGAAAUUCGUAGAUAUUCGGAAGAACACCAGUGGCGAAGGCGGCUUACUGGUCCGGUACUGACGCUGAGGUGCGAAAGCGUGGGGAGCGAACAGG